rnacentral:rRNA from 1 species
CCAAGGAUGUUUUCAUUAAUCAAGAACGAAAGUUAGGGGAUCGAAGACGAUCAGAUACCGUCGUAGUCUUAACCAUAAACGAUGCCGACCAGCGAUUAGGAGACGUUGAAUACAAAACACCACCAUGCGAUUGCGGUCGUCUUUGGUGUCGUCCACAGCGAUGUGGGCGGCAUCGGGAUGGCUUAGCUCGCAUGGCACCGGUGAAU